rnacentral:rRNA from 1 species
GAGCCCAGCUUGCUGGGUGGAUUAGUGACGAACGGGUGAGUAACACGUGAGUAACCUGCCCUUAACUCUGGGAUAAGCCUGGGAAACUGGGUCUAAUACCGGAUAGGAGCGUCCACCGCAUGGUGGGUGUUGGAAAGAUUUAUCGGUUUUGGAUGGACUCGCGGCCUAUCAGCUUGUUGGUGAGGUAAUGGCUCACCAAGGCGACGACGGGUAGCCGGCCUGAGAGGGUGACCGGCCACACUGGGACUGAGACACGGCCCAGACUCCUACGGGAGGCAGCAGUGGGGAAUAUUGCACAAUGGGCGAAAGCCUGAUGCAGCGACGCCGCGUGAGGGAUGACGGCCUUCGGGUUGUAAACCUCUUUCAGUAGGGAAGAAGCGAAAGUGACGGUACCUGCAGAAGAAGCACCGGCUAACUACGUGCCAGCAGCCGCGGUAAUACGUAGGGUGCGAGCGUUAUCCGGAAUUAUUGGGCGUAAAGAGCUCGGAGGCGGUUUGUCGCGUCUGUCGUGAAAUUCCGGGGCUUAACCCCGGAUCUCCGGUGGGUACGGGCAGACUACACUGCAUUAUAGGAGACUGGAAUUCUUGAUGUGUAGCUGGUU